GGAGAGUUGGGUGAGUUGGUUUAAACCAGCAGUUUGCUAAAUUGCCGUACGUCGUAAGAUGUACCGUGGGUUCGAAUCCCACACUCUCCGCCA
rnacentral:tRNA from 2 species